rnacentral:rRNA from 1 species
UACGGAGGGUGCGAGCGUUGUCCGGAAUCAUUGGGCGUAAAGGGCGCGUAGGUGGCCCGGUGAGUCUUUAGUGAAAGCGCGGGGCUCAACCCUGCGUCGGCCAGGGAUACUGCCGCGGCUCGAGCACUGUAGAGGCAGGCGGAAUUCCGGGUGUAGCGGUGGAAUGCGUAGAGAUCCGGAAGAACACCGGUGGCGAAGGCGGCCUGCUGGGCAGUGGCUGACGCUGAGGCGCGACAGCGUGGGGAGCAAACAGG